rnacentral:rRNA from 1 species
GAUGAACGCUGGCGGCGUGCCUAAUACAUGCAAGUCGAGCGAACGGACGAGAAGCUUGCUUCUCUGAUGUUAGCGGCGGACGGGUGAGUAACACGUGGAUAACCUACCUAUAAGACUGGGAUAACUUCGGGAAACCGGAGCUAAUACCGGAUGAUAUUUUGAACCGCAUGGUUCAAAAGUGAAAGACGGUCUUGCUGUCACUUAUAGAUGGAUCCGCGCUGCAUUAGCUAGUUGGUAAGGUAACGGCUUACCAAGCCAACGAUGCAUAGCCGACCUGAGAGGGUGAUCGGCCACACCGGAACUGAGACACGGUCCAGACUCCUACGGGAGGCAGCAGUAGGGAAUCUUCCGCAAUGGGCGAAAGCCUGACGGAGCAACGCCGCGUGAGUGAUGAAGGUCUUCGGAUCGUAAAACUCUGUUAUUAGGGAAGAACAUAUGUGUAAGUAACUGUGCACAUCUUGACGGUACCUAAUCAGAAAGCCACAGCUAACUACGUG